rnacentral:rRNA from 1 species
AUACGGAGGGUCCAAGCGUUAUCCGGAAUCAUUGGGUUUAAAGGGUCCAUAGGCGGGCAAUUAAGUCAGAGGUGAAAUCCCACAGCUCAACUGUGGAACUGCCUUUGAUACUGGUUGUCUUGAAUUAUAGUGAAGUAGAUAGAAUAUGUAGUGUAGCGGUGAAAUGCUUAGAUAUUACAUAGAAUACCGAUUGCGAAGGCAGUCUACUAACUGUAUAGUGACGCUGAUGGACGAAAGCGUGGGGAGCGAACAGGAUUAGAAACCCCUGUAGUCC